ACUCAAAGGAAUAGACGGGGGCCCGCACAAGCGGUGGAGCAUGUGGUUCAAUUCGACGCAACGCGAAGAACCUUACCUGGGCUCGAACGGCUGGUUAACGGGGGUGGAAACACUCCUACUCCGCAAGGAGGUCCAGUCGAGGUGCUGCAUGGCUGUCGUCAGCUCGUGUCGUGAGAUGUUGGGUUAAGUCCCGCAACGAGCGCAACCCUUGUCCUGUGUUGCCAUGGCGCAAGCCGGAACUCGCAGGAGACCGCCAGCGAUAAGUUGGAGGAAGGUGGGGAUGACGUCAAGUCCUCAUGGCCUUUAUGUCCAGGGCUACACACGUGCUACAAUGGCCGGUACAAAGCGCUGCGAAGUCGCAAGACGGAGCCAAUCGCAAAAAACCGGUCUCAGUUCGGAUUGCAGGCUGCAACUCGCCUGCAUGAAGCUGGAAUCGCUAGUAAUGGCAGAUCAGCACGCUGCCGUGAAUACGUUCCCGGGCCUUGCACACACCGCCCGU
rnacentral:rRNA from 1 species